UAUAUUUGCGCGUCCAAUAUAAAUUUAUAUUGGUUACAUAAAAAUUAUUUACAAAAUAUUGGCAUG
rnacentral:ncRNA from 1 species